rnacentral:rRNA from 1 species
ACUCAAAGGAAUUGACGGGGGCCCGCACAAGCGGUGGAGCAUGUGGUUCAAUUCGAAGCAACGCGAAGAACCUUACCAGCCCUUGACAUGGGUGGACGAGAUUCAGAGAUGAAUCUCUUCUCGCAAGAGACCACUACACAGGUGCUGCAUGGCUGUCGUCAGCUCGUGUCGUGAGAUGUUGGGUUAAGUCCCGCAACGAGCGCAACCCUCAUCUUCAGUUGCCAUCAGGUUAGGCUGGGCACUCUGAAGAAACUGCCGUUGACAAGACGGAGGAAGGCGGGGAUGACGUCAAGUCCUCAUGGCCCUUAUGGGCUGGGCUACACACGUGCUACAAUGGCGGUGACAAUGGGCAGCAAAGCCGCGAGGCCGCGCCAAUCCCAAAAAGCCGUCUCAGUUCAGAUUGCACUCUGCAACUCGAGUGCAUGAAGGCGGAAUCGCUAGUAAUCGUGGAUCAGCAUGCCACGGUGAAUACGUUCCCGGGCCUUGCACACACCGCCCGU